rnacentral:tRNA from 1 species
GCCCGGAUGGCGGAAUUGGUAGACGCGCUAGUUUCAGGGACUAGUGGCCGUAAGGCUGUGCAGGUUCGACCCCUGUUCCGGGCA